GUGGGGAAUAUUGGACAAUGGGCGAAAGCCUGAUCCAGCCAUGCCGCGUGUGUGAAGAAGGUCUUCGGAUUGUAAAGCACUUUAAGCUGGGAGGAAGGGCAGUAAGUUAAUACCUUGCUGUUUUGACGUUACCGACAGAAUAAGCACCGGCUAACUUCGUGCCAGCAGCCGCGGUAAUACGAAGGGUGCAAGCGUUAAUCGGAAUUACUGGGCGUAAAGCGAGCGUAGGUGGUUUGGUAAGUUGGAGGUGAAAUCCCCGGGCUCAACCUGGGAACUGCCUCCAAAACUGCAUGACUAGAGUACGGUAGAGGUUAGUGGAAUUUCCUGUGUAGCGUUGAAAUGCUUAGAUAUAGGAAGGAACACCAGUGGCGAAGGCGACUACCUGGACUGAUACUGACACUGGGGUGCGAAAGCGUGGGAAGCAAACAGGAUUAGAUACCCUUGUAGUCC
rnacentral:rRNA from 1 species